GGAUCACUUCCCUUCACCUGGGAGCUGACAUCAUCAGGGCUUUUGAAGCAAGAUGGGAAAGCCUGUAUGGAUAGAGCGUCCUUUUUGCCUUAUGAUGUCACUGAGAUAAGAAAUGCAAGAAUUCCAGUAAGUCAGGUGUCCAAACCCCAUCUCCCUCUGAAAUGCCUCAUUGUUUGCUGUUGGCUCAGAAGCAUGAAAAGCACGCUGACGGCAUGACUGGGACCUGGGAAAGCACCUAUGUCUGAAGAGAAGUGAUAUGAAGACAAGAAAGAAAUGCUGGAUCUGAAACCCUCCUGUGAAAGAACACUUGUGACAGACGCUCAAAGAUUGCUGAGUAAAGGGGCUUGAGGAGAUAAG